rnacentral:tRNA from 1 species
GCGCCCAUAGCUCAUUGGCAGAGCAAUCAGUUUAUGCAGCUGACGUGUAGGGGGUUCGAUUCCCUCUCGGCGCACCA